rnacentral:ncRNA from 1 species
UUAAAAUCUUUGAAGGAAAGCAAGUAGAUUUAAAAACAGAUUUACAGAGAGCUGCAGGUGGUGGAAUUGCAGUAAUUAUGCUUAAGUCGAAUGGGUUCCAGAGAUUCAAGGUGAAAUCAUAGUAGCCUUAGACGUCAGCUUUACGUUAUAAAAGCAGGAUAUCAAUAGUGUAUCUGUAUGAGGAGAAAUUUUUUCUCGAAGAUAGGUGGCACCACGUUAAAUACGUCCUAUGG